AUUGAACGCUGGCGGGAUGCUUUACACAUGCAAGUCGAACGGCAGCGCGGACUUCGGUCUGGCGGCGAGUGGCGAACGGGUGAGUAAUGUAUCGGAACGUGCCCAGUAGCGGGGGAUAACUACGCGAAAGCGUAGCUAAUACCGCAUACGCCCUACGGGGGAAAGCAGGGGAUCGUAAGACCUUGCACUAUUGGAGCGGCCGAUAUCGGAUUAGCUAGUUGGUGAGGUAACGGCUCACCAAGGCGACGAUCCGUAGCUGGUUUGAGAGGACGACCAGCCACACUGGGACUGAGACACGGCCCAGACUCCUACGGGAGGCAGCAGUGGGGAAUUUUGGACAAUGGGGGCAACCCUGAUCCAGCCAUCCCGCGUGUGCGAUGAAGGCCUUCGGGUUGUAAAGCACUUUUGGCAGGAAAGAAACGUCGCGGGCUAAUACCCCGUGGAACUGACGGUACCUGCAGAAUAAGCACCGGCUAACUACGUG
rnacentral:rRNA from 1 species